rnacentral:rRNA from 1 species
AAUGAACGCUGGCGGCGCGCCUAAUACAUGCAAGUCGAGCGAGAAGACGUAGCAAUACGUUUGUAAAGCGGCGAACGGGUGAGGAAUACAUGGGUAACCUACCCUCGAGUGGGGAAUAACUAGCCGAAAGGUUAGCUAAUACCGCGUACGCUCCUUGGACUUCGGUUCAGGGGAGGAAAGCGAUACCGUGGGUAUCGCGCUCUUGGUUGGGCUCAUGUCCUAUCAGCUUGUUGGGAGGUAACGGCUCACCAAGGCUUCGACGGGUAGCUGGUCUGAGAGGACGAUCAGCCACACUGGCACUGCGGCACGGGCCAGACUCCUACGGGAGGCAGCAGUAAGGAAUAUUGCGCAAUGGGCGAAAGCCUGACGCAGCGACGCCGCGUGGGGGAUGAAAGUCUUCGGAUUGUAAACCCCCUUUCGGGACGGGAGAUGGAACGAGCAAUCGUUCGGACGGUACCUCCAGAAGCAGCCACGGCUAAC